rnacentral:rRNA from 1 species
UACGGGGGGGGCAAGCGUUGUUCGGAAUUACUGGGCGUAAAGGGCUCGUAGGCGGCCAACUAAGUCAGACGUGAUAUCCCUCGGCUUAACCGGGGAACUGCGUCUGAUACUGGAUGGCUUGAGUUUGGGAGAGGGAUGCGGAAUUCCAGGUGUAGCGGUGAAAUGCGUAGAUAUCUGGAGGAACACCGGUGGCGAAGGCGGCAUCCUGGACCAACACUGACGCUGAGUGAGCGAAAGCCAGGGGAGCAAACGGG